rnacentral:rRNA from 1 species
GAUGAACGCUGGCGGCGUGCCUAAUACAUGCAAGUCGAGCGAACGGACGAGAAGCUUGCUUCUCUGAUGUUAGCGGCGGACGGGUGAGUAACACGUGGAUAACCUACCUAUAAGACUGGGAUAACUUCGGGAAACCGGAGCUAAUACCGGAUAAUAUUUUGAACCGCAUGGUUCAAAAGUGAAAGACGGUCUUGCUGUCACUUAUAGAUGGGUCCGCGCUGCAUUAGCUAGUUGGUAAGGUAACGGCUUACCAAGGCAACGAUGCAUAGCCGACCUGAGAGGGUGAUCGGCCACACUGGAACUGAGACACGGUCCAGACUCCUACGGGAGGCAGCAGUAGGGAAUCUUCCGCAAUGGGCGAAAGCCUGACGGAGCAACGCCGCGUGAGUGAUGAAGGUCUUCGGAUCGUAAAACUCUGUUAUUAGGGAAGAACAUAUGUGUAAGUAACUGUGCACAUCUUGACGGUACCUAAGCAGAAAGCCACGGCUAACUACGU